rnacentral:rRNA from 1 species
CUUGGUCAUUUAGAGGAAGUAAAAGUCGUAACAAGGUUUCCGUAGGUGAACCUGCGGAAGGAUCAUUAUUGAAAUAAACAUUUGAUAGGCUGUUGCUGGCCCUUCUUGGGUAGUGUGCACGCUUGUCAUUUAUUUAUCUAUUUCCACCUGUGCACCUUUUUGUAGACCUUAGAGAAGACUGCUGUGCGGGCCUCUCUAGGUUCUAUGUUACUCACAUACUCCUAUGAAUGUAAUAGAAUGUUGAUCUGGGUCUUUGCCCAUAAAGUUAUAUACAACUUUCAGCAAUGGAUCUCUUGGCUCUCGCAUCGAUGAAGAACGCAGCGAAAUGCGAUAAGUAAUGUGAAUUGCAGAAUUCAGUGAAUCAUCGAAUCUUUGAACGCAUCUUGCGCUCCUUGGUAUUCUGAGGAGCAUGCCUGUUUGAGUGUCGUGAACAUCCUUCAACCUUUCUUGGUUUCUUGACCAAGAAAGGCUUGGACUUUGGGGGUCUUUCAUUGCUGGCCUCUUUGAAGCCAGCUCCUCCUAAAUGGAUUAGUGUGGUCUGCUUUGCCGAUCCUUGACGUGAUAAGAUGUUUCUACGUCUUGGGUUUCGCACUGUCGCUUUAGACCCCGCUUCUAACCGUCUCGUCUUGCAUUCAAGACAGAGUUUUUAAACCUUGACCUCAAAUCGGGUGAGACUACCCGCUGAACUUAAGCAUAUCAAUAAGCGGAGGA